UACGGGGGGGGCAAGCGUUGUUCGGAAUUACUGGGCGUAAAGGGCUCGUAGGCGGCCAACUAAGUCGGAUGUGAAAUCCCCAGGCUUAACCUGGGAACUGCAUCCGAUACUGGAUGGCUUGAAUCCGGGAGAGGGAUGCAGAAUUCCAGGUGUAGCGGUGAAAUGCGUAGAUAUCUGGAGGAACACCGGUGGCGAAGGCGGCAUCCUGGACCGGUAUUGACGCUGAGGCGCGAAAGCUAGGGGAGCAAACGGG
rnacentral:rRNA from 1 species